CACCAGGUGUGGCCACUAGCCUAUAUGAAGGCCCAAAAUUGUGUGUUCCUUUCUGCUCUGACAAUGGCAUGCCCAUUCGUGCGAGAUGUGGUGGAUGAAGAAGCACUUGUGCUGAGGAGAGCCUUCAGGCGAGAAAGGGUCUUCAGGGACCGGUUGGACCCACUGGCCUUCCCUGAUGACCAUCUAUAUGAAAGAUACAGGUUUUCUGCAGAUGGCAUCAGGUAUCUAUGCAGACUACUGGGUCCCAGGAUUAAGCACCGCACUGCACGGAGCCAUGCACUGAGUGUGGAGCAAAUGGUUUGUGUGGCCUUGCGCUUUUUGCUAGUGGAGCCUUCCUGUACUCAGUGGGGGAUGCAGAACAGCUGAACAAGGCCACAAUUUGCCGCACAAUAAGGAGUGUGUCUGGCUAUCAAAGCAUUAGCAGAUGUCUUCAUCUCCUUCCCUGGCCACAGAAGACUCUGUGACAUCAAAGAGGAGUUCUAUAGGAUUGCAGAUGGUCUGCAAUGCUGACUGUGUGAUCAGCAAUGUUGUGGCAAAAUGGCCUGGCUCAGUCCAUGACUCCAGAAUCUUUCGGGCCUCUGAAAUCUAUCAGUGCCUAUCACAAGGUGAAUUCUCUGGUGUGUUGCUGGGAGACAGGGG